AGCAGCAGCCACGGUAAAACGGAGGGGGCUAGCGUUGUUCGGAAUUACUGGGCGUAAAGCGCACGUAGGCGGCUUUGUAAGUUAGAGGUGAAAGCCCGGAGCUCAACUCCGGAAUUGCCUUUAAGACUGCAGAGCUAGCAGGUGAGAGAGGUGAGUGGAAUUCCGAGUGUAGAGGUGAAAUUCGUAGAUAUUCGGAAGAACACCAGUGGCGAAGGCGGCUCACUGGCUCAUACUGGACGCUGAGGUGCGAAAGCGUGGGGAGCAAACAGGAUUAGAUACCCGCGUAGUCCCUGUCUCUUAUAC
rnacentral:rRNA from 1 species